rnacentral:hammerhead_ribozyme from 1 species
AUCCUGCUGACGAGUCCCAAAUAGGACGAAACGCACAUCUUGGAU